rnacentral:antisense_RNA from 1 species
CUUGAUGGUGGCUGUACGCGGGGCGCCCUUGGGCGCGCCGGUUUCGUUGAUCAACCGGUCUACUAACCCGCGUAUAGCCGCCACCCUU